GUCAUUCUAGUUAUGUCAAGUCGAGCGGACAGAUGGGAGCUUGCUCCCUGAUGUUAGCGGCGGACGGGUGAGUAACACGUGGGUAACCUGCCUGUAAGACUGGGAUAACUCCGGGAAACCGGGGCUAAUACCGGAUGGUUGUUUGAACCGCAUGGUUCAAACAUAAAAGGUGGCUUCGGCUACCACUUACAGAUGGACCCGCGGCGCAUUAGCUAGUUGGUGAGGUAACGGCUCACCAAGGCAACGAUGCGUAGCCGACCUGAGAGGGUGAUCGGCCACACUGGGACUGAGACACGGCCCAGACUCCUACGGGAGGCAGCAGUAGGGAAUCUUCCGCAAUGGACGAAAGUCUGACGGAGCAACGCCGCGUGAGUGAUGAAGGUUUUCGGAUCGUAAAGCUCUGUUGUUAGGGAAGAACAAGUACCGUUCGAAUAGGGCGGUACCUUGACGGUACCUAACCAGAAAGCCACGGCUAACUACGUGCCAGCAGCCGCGGUAAUACGUAGGUGGCAAGCGUUGUCCGGAAUUAUUGGGCGUAAAGGGCUCGCAGGCGGUUUCUUAAGUCUGAUGUGAAAGCCCCCCCGGCUCAACCGGGGAGGG
rnacentral:rRNA from 1 species